rnacentral:misc_RNA from 1 species
GGAGAUUGUGCAAAACUAAACUUUGGGAUUCUUAAGAAAUAGCUCAAAGCCUCAUGGAAAAUUUCAAUCCAAUUAAAGCAUUCAUGCUGGGUUACCAUUACAAGUUAAAUCAGUUCAGUAUCAAACAGAAAUGAUGGGAAUUUGUUUAUUAGGACAGUAAAGAAAAGAUAAUAUAGUAUUUCAUUAAUGAAGGCCUUGGUUAUAGUUUCUUCAGAUGUGCUUCACUCUAUGCAAAAAGGAAUAUAAUUUCAGCAAGGUUAUCUACAAUCACAAGCUUAUCUUGCUUAACUGGAAUAGUAGAGGUGCC